AGAACGAACGCUGGCGGCAUGCCUAAUACAUGCAAGUCGAACGAACACUUCGGUGUUAGUGGCGCACGGGUGCGUAACGCGUGGGAAUCUGCCCUUGGGUUCGGAAUAACAGUUGGAAACGACUGCUAAUACCGGAUGAUAUCGAAAGAUCAAAGAUUUAUCGCCCAGGGAUGAGCCCGCGUAGGAUUAGCUAGUUGGUGAGGUAAAGGCUCACCAAGGCGACGAUCCUUAGCUGGUCUGAGAGGAUGAUCAGCCACACUGGGACUGAGACCACGGCCCAGACUCCGUAGGGAGGCAGCAGGUAGGAAU
rnacentral:rRNA from 1 species